rnacentral:lncRNA from 1 species
CAGGCACUGGAACUCUCACUGAGGCAACAUAGUAUAUAAGGGCAUUGGCUAUGGGUUUCUUACCAUUCAUCUUUCCAAGAUGAAGACAGAAAGAACUUUCCAAAUGGUGAGUUCCCUGGGCAAUGCUUUAAAGGUUCAAAAAUGUGUUACUGAAAGCUUCUAACUAAUAUGAGUUGUCCUAGGGGUGUUAUGAGUGUAGUAGCCAUAAAGUUUUGGGUAAUACCAUCUGGACCAUACGACUGACCAUAGGACUACUCCCCAAAAGGGAGUUUAAAUAGCUUUUUAUUUCUUUGCUGAUGUGACAAUUUGUGAUGGGGAUUAUUUGUGAAGUAUGUACAUGUAUAUGACUUUUUCAUUCUCCAGGUACCAGUCCACUUACUAGUCUUAUUCUGGGGUCUUGAUUUAUCUAAAGGAUCUGGAAUAGGACAUGUGUCCUGGGCUUUCUCCUCAUUUUUCUCAUCGGUUCAAGUCUAGGUAAUGAUCAAUGCUCUGUCCAGAGGAUUCCUUCAAUGUCUAGAGAUAAUACCUUCUUUUGAACUCAUAGAAUAUUUAUCUGAAUCAGUUGCUUGCAUCCUCUAGAAGACUGAUGCUCAACUGACUGCUAGACUACUUCUAUGGAGCCCUACUUGCUGCUUGACCAGCUGUCAUCAAUAUGCUUCUCAUUCUCCAAAGGACACUUGUAGAGUUCACAGGGGCCACUUCUGUGCUUUCUCACUGAUGAUAUUAAAGAGCCCGUAGUGUAACUUUUGCUGUAACUGGUGGAAUUCAAUAAAUGACAGUUCCACAUUGAAAGUGUUGAAGCG